CGCAACCCGCCCAUAGUCGAGCCCCGUCCUCACUAACCCUUCCAGAAGCUACCAACUCUAUCAGAAAGAAGAGAAUUCACUGACCCAUUAACUCCUCUCUCUCUCUCUCUCUCUCUCUCCUGCAAUCUCUGUGAAGUUUUAAGAGGGGAAAGAUGAGUAGCCGAUCGAGUCGCACUAUCUACGUCGGCAAUCUGCCUGGGGAUAUUCGUAUGAGAGAAAUUGAAGAUUUGUUCAUGAAGUACGGGCCCAUCGUCGACAUUGAUCUCAAAGUCCCGCCGAGACCACCAGGUUAUGCUUUUAUUGAGUUUGAAGAUGCUCGAGAUGCUGAUGAUGCAAUUUAUGGCCGGGAUGGGUACAACUUUGAUGGGUAUCGAUUACGGGUUGAACUAGCGCAUGGUGGACGAGGACACUCAUCGUCAAUGGAUCGAUACAGCAGUUACAGUCAUAGUAGCAGUAGCCGUGGAGCUUCCCGGCGCUCUGACUAUCGUGUACUGGUCACUGGAUUGCCUCCUUCUGCUUCAUGGCAGGAUCUGAAAGACCACAUGCGUCGAGCUGGAGAUGUCUGUUUCUCCCAAGUGUUCCGUGAUCAGGGUGGCAUGACGGGAAUUGUAGACUACACAAACUAUGACGAUAUGAGAUAUGCUAUCCGGAAACUUGAUGACUCUGAAUUCAAAAAUGCUUUUUCUCGGGCUUACAUACGGGUGAAGGAAUAUGAUUCUAGACGUAGCUAUUCCAGAAGCCCUAGUUAUGACAUGAGACGGAGCUACUCUAGAAGCCCCAGUCGUAGUCCAUAUACGUCGAGAAGUCAAAGCCGCAGUCGCAGCUAUAGCUAUGGUGGCCGAAUCAGAAGCAUAUCACCGGAGGCAAAAUAUUUGCACUGCUCUCCAUCAGUAUCUUAUCCAAGGUCUGUCUCACGUUCCCGCGCAAGGUUGCCUUCUUUCUUGCUAGAUCUGGCUUUUGUGGAGAUCUGGGGACUGGAUGUUAGGAACUUGAUGGGAUGUGGUGCUCAUGCCUGCAACUCUUAGUUGAGGUAACGCCACUUUAUUGAUGAGCACCUCUGAAAACAUGGUCUCAAUGGAAGUAAUUCUAAUGAGUUUGAAUUCUAAAGUUGGAUUUAUGUUGGACACGUGCUAUAGCUACCAAAAACCACAAAUCAGCGGUGCGGACACAUAAAGCUCAAAACUACUACAUUCACUAACUUGCGAUAAGGAUGAGUGAAUUUUCUCCUCCUUUCAUCUAGGAUUAGAUGUUCGAUGCUGGUAUUUUAAUUUCUUACUACAUUGGUUGUUUUAUAUUUCUAAGAUCUGCCGGAAAGAUCAUGGGAUGCUGGGUGUAGAGCAUCUGGGCUAAAGGUUUAUAAUUUUUACUGUUUUCUUCCCGUCUAAUUAUGAUCUCGGACAAGAUCUAGGUCUCCAGUUUCUUCUGCUAGUCCCAGGACUCUGAGCAGAUCCAAGUCAAGAUCCAGAAGCUUAUCCCGGUCGCUUUCACCUUCUGCAAGGUGAGAUCUAAACGAAGCCACGCCAUUGACUCCAGAGAUAGCGCUAUUAAGUACAACUUUCUAGUGCUUUUUCUUUGGGGACACGAUAGGGAAAUCAGUAACUUGAUGUAGUGUUCUAGACAUUUUGAUUAGGACCUUCAUUGGAUGGCCUAGUAUUGCAUCUAUGAAAUGGUUAGUUUGAAGAUAAUAUGAUGUAUUAAAUUAAAACCAUUUUACUUUUUGCUUUUGAAGUGGGAUAUAUGCAGCGCUUGCGGUUGAUGUUCAGUCUUGUAUUAAAUUAAAUCAUUUUACUUUUUUCUUUGUC